rnacentral:rRNA from 1 species
AAGGCUGAGCUGUGAUGGCGAGGGAAAUUUAGUACCGAAGUUCCUGAUUCCACACUGCCAAGAAAAGCCUCUAGCGAGGUGAGAGGUGCCCGUACCGCAAACCGACACAGGUAGGCGAGGAGAGAAUCCUAAGGUGAGCGAGAGAACUCUCGUUAAGGAACUCGGCAAAAUGACCCCGUAACUUCGGGAGAAGGGGUGCUUUUUAGGGUUCAUAGCCCUGAAAAGCCGCAGUGAAUAGGCCCAGGCGACUGUUUAGCAAAAACACAGGUCUCUGCGAAGCCGCAAGGCGAAGUAUAGGGGCUGACGCCUGCCCGGUGCUGGAAGGUUAAGGGGAGAGGUUAGCGCAAGCGAAGCUUUGAACCGAAGCCCCAGUAAACGGCGGCCGUAACUAUAACGGUCCUAAGGUAGCGAAAUUCCUUGUCGGGUAAGUUCCGACCCGCACGAAAGGCGUAACGAUCUGGGCACUGUCUCAACGAGAGACUCGGUGAAAUUAUAGUACCUGUGAAGAUGCAGGUUACCCGCGACAGGACGGAAAGACCCCGUGGAGCUUUACUGUAGCCUGAUAUUGAAUUUUGGUACAGCUUGUACAGGAUAGGUAGGAGCCUUGGAAGCCGGAGCGCCAGCUUCGGUGGAGGCAUUGGUGGGAUACUACCCUUGCUGUAUUGAAAUUCUAACCCACAGCCCUGAUCGGGCUGGGAGACAGUGUCAGGUGGGCAGUUUGACUGGGGCGGUCGCCUCCUAAAAUGUAACGGAGGCGCCCAAAGGUUCCCUCAGAAUGGUUGGAAAUCAUUCGCAGAGUGUAAAGGCACAAGGGAGCUUGACUGCGAGACCUACAAGUCGAGCAGGGACGAAAGUCGGGCUUAGUGAUCCGGUGGUUCCGCAUGGAAGGGCCAUCGCUCAACGGAUAAAAGCUACCCCGGGGAUAACAGGCUUAUCUCCCCCAAGAGUCCACAUCGACGGGGAGGUUUGGCACCUCGAUGUCGGCUCAUCGCAUCCUGGGGCUGUAGUCGGUCCCAAGGGUUGGGCUGUUCGCCCAUUAAAGCGGUACGCGAGCUGGGUUCAGAACGUCGUGAGACAGUUCGGUCCCUAUCCGUCGUGGGCGCAGGAAAUUUGAGAGGAGCUGUCCUUAGUACGAGAGGACCGGGAUGGACGCACCGCUGGUGUACCAGUUGUCUUGCCAAAGGCAUCGCUGGGUAGCUAUGUGCGGAAGGGAUAAGUGCUGAAAGCAUCUAAGCAUGAAGCCCCCCUCAAGAUGAGAUUUCCCAUCACGUAAGUGAGUAAGAACCCUGAAAGAUGAUCAGGUUGAUAGGUCUGAGGUGGAAGCGCGGUGACGUGUGGAGCUGACAGAUACUAAUCGUUCGAGGACUUAACCACAG